ensembl:lncRNA
CAGGACUGAUAGGCCUCAUGUUGCCAUGGGCUAAAAUACCCACGAGCAGGACUGCCUCAACACCACAUGCAGAGAAAAUUUGAAGAGAAUGCGGCUAAGGGCAUACCUGCCUGAAGACGGCAUCACAUAAACAGCCUCCAGGCGGCCGAGCCACAUGGCCAGAGGCACUAACAUGGCUGCAGAGCCAUGAGGUGUACAUGUCCAUAAGAACCAGAGGCACCAAUAUGGCAACAGAGCCCUAAGGUGUACAUGUCCAUAAGAACCAGAGGCACCAACGCCAGGCUAGGCAUCUGUCUAGCUGUUCCAGAUAACUGAAUGGUGAAGUGAGGAAUGAACGUUUUUCCUAAUGAACAAACGCAUGAAGCUGUCUUUCUUGAGGGGAAUUUCUAACUACGUGUGCCCGAUCUCGUCUCCUCUACAGUGUUCCAACCAGGGAACUAACAGAGUAAAAACUCAGCCAGGUUGAGGUCAAAUGGCAAGGGUUUCUGAGAAAGAUGGAACGAGGUGGUUUUGAACGGAAGAACACUCCUAGUUGGACUGACAGAAGAAAUAGUAUUGACCCAAAAAGUCAAAGGUGACCUGGACUGGAGUUUCAAAAUCUCUAAAGAAAAGCUGCGCUAUGGAACACGCACCCUCCCAAUACGUGAAUUUUGCUAUCUACAACAUCUUAAGUAUGGGGGUCAUCAUGUAUGCAGACUGGGCAAUAGCCAACUACAGUAACAGGUUAUAUUUGACCUGAGCAGGACCCCAAGAAAGAUUUGGAUUCAGAUAGAGAGGCCAGGAGAAGGAUGAUGAAGAGGACACAGUUCUUGCAAUUGAAUCUACAAUUCAAUUGCAGAUAUCCAGUCUUGUGAAUUUAUGUCAAAUUGGCUUGCCAUAUGACAAUUCUGGCUGCCUUCAUUUCACCUAGUCAAAACGAAUUCAAGAUAUCUGCAAUUACAUUUUGACUAGGCGGAAUGAUAGUUGCAGAUGUCUCCAAUUUUAUCUCUAAUCAAAUAUAAUUUAAUAGAUAUCUACAAUAAAAUUAUGACUAUCCCUAAUUCCAGUUAGACAUAUCUACAAAGUCAUUUUGACUAGUAAUAGUUCCAGUUAGAGAUAUCUACAAUGUCAUUUCACCUAGUCGAAACUAAAUUUAAGAUAUCUGAAAAGGGACAUGUAGAUAUCUUGAAUUGAGGUGAAUUAAUGAUUAAAUUGGAAUUGUGACUAGUCAGAAUCAAAUUGUUGACAUCUCAAACUGGAAUUACAGAUAGGCCUAUCUACAAUUCAGUUGCAAAUAUCCAUUGUCCACAUUGUGGAUAUCUGCAAUUUAAUUGUAGAUAUCUGUAAUGAAAACCCCAUAGACAUGAAUGGCAAAAGUAACGUAAUUUCUCUUAGGGGGAAUGUCUUUGUGGAUAUCUGAAAUGACAAUUGUGGACAGGAGGAAUGUAGUAGCUGAUAUUCAAAAUGUUCUUUUUGACUGUGCAAAACUGAAAUACAGAUAUCUGCAACACAUAUCCAGUCUAGUGAAUUUAGGUAAAAUUGGUUAGCCAUACUUCCUAGCCAACGCAGCAACACCUAUACCGAAGCCCCCCCUGGAACCGCGGAGCCAUCGCAUUUACAUCAGAAUAAAACAAAAACCGCCAAUAUGCGGUUUUUGUUUUACUCAAAUGGAAGUUACUGGGACGAACUGAAAACAUACAAACGUUUAAAAAAAAACUGUUGAUUCUGAAAAAAGUAUGUAGCAUCAAAGUAUGUUGAUUUGUUAAAUGUUUGAACAAAGGUUAAUGGUUGAAAAUGUAUUAAAAGUGUGUUAAAAGUUGCGAGGUCGAAAAACCAUCAGGUAAUGUAACAUCAUGUUUCUGACGUAAAACAAGUUCUACAGCUAUCUUUUGUAACUUGAUAUAGGCAUUGUUGUUCAGCGAUAAAUCACUGCUGGCAAAAAAGCAUCAUACAUGUGUUCUAGAAGUUAUUUCCUCCUAUUAAAACAUUCCAUUGGAACAUUGAGACACAAGGGGUUGUAUUUAUUUGAAAAUCACA